CGGGGGGAGCAAGCGUUGUUCGGAUUUACUGGGCGUAAAGGGCGCGUAGGCGGCCACCGCAAGUCGACUGUGAAAUCUCUGGGCUUAACCCAGAACGGUCAGCCGAUACUGCGGGGCUAGAGUGCAGAAGGGGCAACUGGAAUUCUCGGUGUAGCGGUGAGAUGCGUAGAUAUCGAGAGGAACACCUGCGGCGAAGGCGGGUUGCUGGGCUGACACUGACGCUGAGGCGCGAAAGCUAGGGGAGCGAACGGGAUUAGAUACCCCGGUAGUCCUAGCCUUAAACGAUGAAUGCUUGGUGUCUGGGGUUUUAUAGUCCCCGGGUGCCGUCGCUAACGCUUUAAGCAUUCCGCCUGGGGAGUACGGUCGCAAGACUG
rnacentral:rRNA from 1 species